ACGACGUUGAUAGGUUGGGUGUGUAAGCGCUGUGAGGCGUUGAGCUAACCAAUACUAAUUGCCCGUGAGGCUUGACCAUA
rnacentral:rRNA from 1 species